UACUUCUACUUUCCUACCUUCAGGAAGUGAGCAGCUUUGUUCAGCCAUGCACUCCCCUCCAUGAUGUUCUGCCUCACUAAAGUCCAAAAGCAUGGCCUUCACUAGCACCACAGACUGAAGCCUCUGUAGCUGUGAGCCAAAAUAUCUUUCCUCCAUGUGAAUUAUUUAUCUCAGGUAUUUUGUCACAGUGAUAUAAAGCUGACUAACAGGUAGAUGGAGGUGGGGAUGUGGAGAAGUGAUCAGCUUCUUCUGAAAGGUACAGUUUCUGAUUAUUGAGUGGACAUUUAAAAAAGAGAAGAGUCAAGUAUAAACCUUAAGACUUCUGACCUAAGCAACCAGAAGAAUGGAGAUAUCAUUAAUUGACAUAGGAAAGAUUUCAGGUGGAAUGAAUUUGAGAUCAAGAUUUCAAUUUUUGGAAGUGUUAAAGUUCAAGACAUCUCUCUUUUUAAAACAUUUUUUUAAUUGUAGUUGGACACAAUACCUUUAUUUUAUUUAUUCAUUUUUAUGUGGUGCUGAGGAUCGAACCCAGCAUCUCGCACGCACAUGCUAGGCAAGUGCUCUACCCCUGAGCCACUACCCCAGCCCCUCAAGACAUUGCUUAGUGAUUCAAUUGGCAUUGUUGGGCUUCAUGAUUUUGCAACAGGAGAGAGAGGUGGGCUAGAGAUAAAAAUUGGGGAGUCAUUAGCAUGUAGAUAUUAUUUUAAAAUAUUAGAGAAUGUAGAGAACUGAAAAAGAGAUGAAGACCAAGGACAACCCUGGAGCUGCCCCACUUGAAGAGCUGGAGGAUCCUGCAAAAGAGAAUGAAAAAAGAAAAUCAAGAGAGUCAAAUGUUAUGGAAAUCAAUUGAAUAAAAUAUGUCCCCUAUGGUUAAGUUUCCUAUAUUCCUCAUUUUAAUUUUAUGAAAAUGCCCACACUCCCCGCUGCCACACAGUAACAAAAGACUCCUUGUCAGUUUCCUGUGAGAAGUCAACUUUCCAG
rnacentral:lncRNA from 1 species